rnacentral:lncRNA from 1 species
UUGUGUGUGGGAGAAUUGAGAAGAAAGGGUUCUUCUCUUGAUCUCUAUCAUAGAUAUUUGAUACGUGGAUUUAGAAAAAAAAGGAGAGAAUUUUUUUAUUCUUCAUCUUCUUCAUGUUCUUCUUAGAUCAGCCAAAGCAUGGUAUCUUCACGAGCUAGCACUUUCGGAAGGAUCGAUCAGCACAUGGCCUUCAUUUGGAUACCUGUAGAGGUCAGAUAUGUG